AUUUGUCCCUUGCUAGAAAAGAUUGGUUAAUUCCUCCAGGGAUUGUGGCUUAAAUAAUUAACCUACAAGAAACUCUAAAUCCAGUUUGCACUAUAUAUUAGCUGAUCCUCAGUCAGCAUCUGCAACCUUAAAGUAUAACUGUCCUAUUUAUUUCCCUGCGCCACUUCUUCGGACUGGAGAUCUGUGAUGCUAAUUUAUGAAAAAGAGGAAUCCUGAUGUUGCACUUUAUGCCAAUUGGGAACUGUGGAAAUAUUCGACCUCCUGGAGCUGAUUUACUUAGUAUAUGCUGUUAAGCUCCAUGACACGGUCAGCAGCUUUGAUGAAGAUUUCGCAGAGGAGCUUAUUCCUGCUUGGGAUCCACCAAUAUGGGACAUGCUGGGGGCAGACACCAUUGCUGAUAGUUAGGUGUGAUCUCACCAGGUAAAUCACACUUCACAAGUGUGGAGCUAUGGCAGGAGAGGACUGUGGGGAUUUCACAUCAGAGGGUGCAGUCUGUUCAGCUGGAGAGAGAUUGUGGACCUGUAGGAGUGGAGUGUGGUUCCAGGAGAGGUCUUCAAUGAAAUGGAGAAAUGCAGUGCCAGAGAGUCAGUAGACUGACCACAAUGUCAGUAGAUUGGAGGUGUGCAGUUCAAAUAUCUUACAUGAAUGCCUUAGACCCUUUUGAAAAUGCAAUCUUCCAUUGAAAGCUUGACCUCCUGCUUUGGUUUUUGAGUCAGACUAUCGAAACUGUGCAAUUCCAGAUGGUGUGUUACAAACUGUCCCAAACAUACUAGCUGUGUUCACAAAAUUCUCCAUGAAUUGCAAAUUUGUAUAGCUCACUGUUAGUUUUACAAGUAUUUCAAUUUUUUUUUUCAAAUGAGCAGCAAAAGUUUUCCCUUGGGCAAGAUCAAAUGUUUAUGAUGCAACUAUUGUUUGGAAAUUACUAAGUAAAAUGUGAUCAAUGUUAGCUCAGAUGCAAUCACAAAGAUUGAAAGCAGGUACCUCCACACUUCCACAUCUGUCCAGGCUCCAGAAAUUGGCACAUCUGUCAAUCGCUUGGCUUGUAUCACAGUGCUCUCGCAGGUUGAUGGGUGGGAUUCCUCAUGGGUUGGAAUAACAAGAUAAGAUGGCCAUAUCGACGGAGACUUGGUCCCUUUACCUUAUUUCUGGAGAUGCCACAAAAGUUAAAGAUUAUAAAAGAUUCUCACAAUUCCCCAAGUUGCCUGUGUAUAUCCAGGGUGACAAAAAGCACAGACCAGGUUUGUAUACUUAACAAUUUAUUCCCAGUAAUAAGACUUUAGCCACAGGUCAGCAUUAAUGAGCCAUUGGCAUAUAAUACUAUAAAUUAAAACUCUAAUCCCCUUAUUAAACUCCCCUUACAUGCAUACACAUGGAUGGAUGGAAAACUGGGAAGGCAGUUCAGUGGUUAAUAUUCAUGGGGUUGCUGAGAUAAUCCUUAUGUUCUUGUGCUGAUCAGGGCAUCAUCUCUUCGUCAUCCUCAGGAUGCUCUCACUGGUUUAUAGGAUGCACAGUGACUGGUUAACUCUAACUAGGGGUCCCUGCCUUAUUAAUUCGAAGUCACAGCUUCCACCACCUGCCAAAGAAAAUAUAAACUUGUUUUCUUCAAACUUAAAAUGGCCUUUUCUGCAGAGCAAAAAGUGUUCCUGGACUAGUGUUGGUCUGACCAUUUCUGUCUGUAUCUUAUUCACAUCCCAAGCUGUUAUCAACUAGCAACCAAUCACAUACUUGUUUGCAGGCAGAAGGCCUUUUUUGCACAUUGAGAAACUUAGUAGGUCUGACAGCAUCUGUGGAGAGAGAAGAAAAGUUGAUGAAUCCCAUGAUUCAUCAAAACUGCCCCACUCAACUCAACACAUUAACUCUGUUUCUCUCUCCACAGAUGCUGUAACACAACACUUGCUGAGUUUCUCUAGCACUUUCUGUUUGAGUU